CAAACUUGUCUGCAUACUCCGACACCAAGUACUGAUGCCUGGAAGAGAGAAGGAAGGCACCACACUUGAGUAACAGCAUCGGCCUGAAUCUGCGGGCGGACGCUGGUUGGUGUGGGCACACUAAAGAGGAAGAGAUGGCAUGACUCUGGAAAAGGGCACCAUCUUCCUGUUUAUGUAAGGAAGGAAACUAUUGCCCAGCAAAUGGCCCCUUUUGAGGAACAAAGAAAUCUUUUCCAAGAAAUCUAGUAUCAGUAAGGCCGACAGGCCACAUCUCUGCUCAACUACCGGUACUUCUUGACGAUUCGAACUUCCCUUUUCCCUCAUUAUAAUAAUUGGUGAGUACCGGUAGGUAUAACUAAUGGUUAUUGUCUAAUCAUGAAGAUAAUAUAGAAGACCAGAGUUUUUUUAAGAAACAAACCACUGUAAAUAUGACAGUUCUCCUUUUUUAAUGUUGUGUGCUUACCUUACCCUAUGACAGGUAUCCUAUGUUGUGUGCUUACCUUACCCUAUGACAGGUAUCCUAUGUUGUGUGCUUACCUUAGGUGGCGGGGUGGCAUAGAAGGGCGGGUUGAGCUUCUUCUGCGGUUGGCAGCGGAACUGGUACAGCUGCAGCGAGGCCUCAGUGAAGGGCUUGUAGUCCGCCC